rnacentral:lncRNA from 1 species
GAAUUCUAGACAUAUUAUACGUGGUAAGUUUGUAUCUUGUCUUCCUUAACUGCAUUGGCAUAGCUGAAUUAUUGUGGCUGUUUAAUUACCUGCAGCAACUAUGUGCUGAAACAAGAGAUUAUUGUGCUUUGCAGAUUCAGUUGCUCGGCUAUGGUGAGUCGAUCGACUGGAAUGGUCCGAGUAGUGGUGGAUCUAUGAUAUGGUCCCUUUCCCUUGUGCAAGGUAAUGGCUUGUGUUCAAGGGAACGCUUUGCUCGUCUGGCCUGCGGGGGGCUGCGCUGGUCCAGCAUGGCCGGCUUUAUGAAUGAUGUGGUUGGUGGUGGCAGGAAUCAUUAGGGCCUUCCCAAGCUUUCACCAAGCUGAAUCAUGGCGCCAGCUUCGGAGGCAUGCGCACCACUUCAACUUCAACAGGACAGAUGGAUAUAUAUAUAGAGAGAGAGAGAUGAUCGGCAAAAGGGUAAAGGUGGCCCGGAUGCAGAUGUGGUGGAUUUCCUAUUUGGUUUCGCUUCUUUUUCCCUUUUCUUUCUUUCUUUUGGUUAAGUUUUCAGAUUUGUUUGUGCAGAGGUGGAGAGCGUUCGAGUUUUUUGUGUUUUAUAUGAGGUUGUAGGCUUGCAUGGUUGGUACGUACGUGUGGUUUGGUCUUUGUUUUGCACUUUGUAGCCAGUUUUGAUGAAGAAGGAAGGCUCGUUGUGAUGAACCCUGUUUCAUUUGACAUGGUGCUCUUCUCUCUGGUCCUUGAUGCUUCUUCUGUGCAUCAUUCGACCCCUCCCGUCCGGUUCGUGUGCAAGCUGUCGAUGUAAUACAGCAUAGUAUAUAUCUUUAUGGUGGCAUGGCAGAUGGCACCCUGAGGUUGCUCAAUUAUGCUGGCUUUGAUGGGUGUCCUUGAGCUGUACAUUACUAUUGAGCCCUGGGAAGAUUCUUGCAUUACUCAAAAAGUUUAGGAAUUACAAUCACGUCCAAC